AAAUUGAAGAGUUUGAUCAUGGCUCAGAUUGAACGCUGGCGGCAGGCCUAACACAUGCAAGUCGAACGGUAACAGGAAACAGCUUGCUGUUUCGCUGACGAGUGGCGGACGGGUGAGUAAUGUCUGGGAAACUGCCUGAUGGAGGGGGAUAACUACUGGAAACGGUGGCUAAUACCGCAUAACGUCGCAAGACCAAAGAGGGGGACCUUCGGGCCUCUUGCCAUCAGAUGUGCCCAGAUGGGAUUAGCUAGUUGGUGAGGUAACGGCUCACCAAGGCGACGAUCCCUAGCUGGUCUGAGAGGAUGACCAGCCACACUGGAACUGAGACACGGUCCAGACUCCUACGGGAGGCAGCAGUGGGGAAUAUUGCACAAUGG
rnacentral:rRNA from 1 species